rnacentral:rRNA from 1 species
UACGUAGGGGGCUAGCGUUGUUCGGAAUUACUGGGCGUAAAGCGCACGUAGGCGGAUUUGUAAGUCAGGGGUGAAAUCCCGGGGCUCAACCUCGGAACUGCCUUUGAUACUGCAAGUCUUGAGUCCGGAAGAGGUGAGUGGAAUUCCUAGUGUAGAGGUGAAAUUCGUAGAUAUUAGGAAGAACACCAGUGGCGAAGGCGGCUCACUGGUCCGGUACUGACGCUGAGGUGCGAAAGCGUGGGGAGCAAACAGG